GGGGUUGUGGCUCAGUGGUAAAGUGCUCACCUAGCAUGUGCGAGGCCCUGGGUUCGAUCCUCAGCACCACA
rnacentral:tRNA from 1 species